GGGACCGCUGCCAGUCCACAGACUAUCACUGGUCUACAACGAGAUAAGUACAGAAACCGAAAGGACAAUGUCUCUUUUUCAUCUCUGAAGAUGAAACCUAACAAGGGACUGGCAUGCUUCAUUCAUUUAUCCCACAUUCCAAGAUUUCUCUGUGCUGAGUGCUGGGAAUAUAGGACAACAAGACACACAGCCCAGGAGGGAGACAGGCAACUAACAGAUGUCACAGUGUGACGGGUCUGGUAGGGUAAUCAGAGGGACCCGUAGAAGUACAGAGAAGGGCAACCAAGUCAGACCAGGGUGGUGGGAACCAGUCAGGGAGGGCUUCCUGGAGGAGUUGACACCUGAGCUGAGUCCCAAAGGAGAAGCAGGAGUUGAGCAGGUUAAAAAAAAAAAAAA